rnacentral:rRNA from 1 species
GACGAACGCUAGCGGCGUGCCUAAUACAUGCAAGUCGAACGCAUUUUCUUUCACCGUAGCUUGCUACACCGAAAGAAAAUGAGUGGCGAACGGGUGAGUAACACGUGGGUAACCUGCCCAUCAGCGGGGGGUAACACUUGGAAACAGGUGCUAAUACCGCAUAAUUCCAUUUACCGCAUGGUAGAUGGGUGAAAGGCGCUUUUGCGUCACUGAUGGAUGGACCCGCGGUGCAUUAGCUAGUUGGUGGGGUAACGGCCUACCAAGGCUGCGAUGCAUAGCCGACCUGAGAGGGUGAUCGGCCACACCGGGACUGAGACACGGCCCAGACUCCUACGGGAGGCAGCAGUAGGGAAUCUUCGGCAAUGGACGCAAGUCUGACCGAGCAACGCCGCGUGAGUGAAGAAGGUUUUCGGAUCGUAAAACUCUGUUGUUAGAAAAGAACAAGGAUGAGAGUGGAAAGUUCAUCCCUUGACGGUAUCUAACCAGAAAGCCACGGCUAACUACGUG